rnacentral:lncRNA from 1 species
UGCUUAUGCACUGCCAGUAGAGGGGUGGCUCACCCUUUUUCUUGCCAGCCCAUUCUGAAUCUGGGCAUUUCUCCUGGGAAGUUCUUCCUCAGAUGGAGUGGAGGAGAACCAUGGAGAGGAGGGGAGGCUGGACCGGGCUUCACCUCACACGGUGCAGGAAUGGCCACAAAGUCCUGAUGAAGAGCAGCCCCUGCGGGACAUCCCUGACAAACAACCCUACAGCUUCUGCUUGAGUCUCCCCAGCAUGGGGAACUCACCACCUUCCAAGGCACCUCUCUUGUAAAUGAAGAAAUUAAAACUGCAAGUUGAAACUGAGUCACUGAUGGCGCCAGAUGUUUCUGGAGCAAAACUGGGAAAGAGGGUGAGCAUUGGAAAGACACCUCCUCCUGUUAUCUUCGAGAAGCCAUUUACUGGGAAAACAAAAACUGAGCUCCAUGAUGCAUAAAUUCCAAAAUGCAGAGGCCAAUUUCUUUCCCUUUGACCACAUGUCGGAAAGGCUCGGGGUUCAGUAACUGGAGGAGGCAGUGUUUAAUCCCAAUUUUACCAGUGAAGAAACUGAGGCUCAGAAAAACAAAGUGACUCCAAAUUCCUUGAGCACCUGGCCAGGGUCAGUCCCCACGGUGGCUGAGAUGGUUGACCAAUGGCCUCUGGGGAGAAGGCUAUGGGCACAGACACUGGUCCCUGGCUUGUUGGGAGGGAACAAGGAUGUCCAUCUGUCCUCCCUCAACACUGCCUCCUGGGGGACAAGGAAGAUGCCCAGAGUGAGUGGGCAGGGUGGGCGAUGGACUCAUACCCUGCCUUGGUGUCUCUGUGGCUCCUGGAAGAUCCUUGCAAGCAGCGGUGAGCACUGUGACUUGAGCCCUGCGGUGGUGGCUUGCCAUGUGGCCAGUCAAGGUGGACGAUGGACUCAUAUGCUGCCUGGGUGUCUCUGUGACUCUUGGGAGAUCCUUGCUGGCAGCGGUGAGCACUGUGACUUCAGCCCUGCAGUGGUAGCUGGUCACAUGGCCAGUCAAGGCUCAGUCUUCUUAGUAAUCAAAGGACUGAAAGUGUCCAGUAGCUUUGGAUGAUGGUUGAGGACUCGUUAAUAAAGACCACUGCCCUAUGGGAAUGCGUUAUACUCUCUGGAAUGAGCCGUGCAGGUGGGCUCAGAGAACAUACCAUUUGCACACUCAUAACAAUGUAAAAGUAUGAAAGUAAAAGUCAUAUGAAAUCCUCCUGUGCAGAGCUAGUUAAUGUUGGGUGACUGUCACUCCAGGCAUCUGUCUUUGCACUUGCAAGAGGGAUAACAUGUAGGUAAAUAGGAAAACACUGUACAGUAUAUGCUAUCCUUUACUUACUUUAGUCAAUGGUAUAUCAACAAACAUAAAUCUAUAUCAUUUUAACUGCAUCUGAUUCCAUUGUAUGAAUGUACCUUACUUUAUUUAAUCAGUAGGCUUCUGAUUGCAAUUUGCAUUGGGUUUUGCAUUUCAGCCAUCUUUCGUGAUCCUUAAA